UCCAGUCUGCUCACUGAAUAAUUUAAAGAGCCGCAGUAUAUUGACUGUGCAAAGGUAGCAUAAUCAAUAGUUUUUUAAUUGAANACUUUUAUGNAAGAUUAGACGAGAGAUUUAUUUUCUUUAUUUUAUAUAAUUAAAUUUUAAAUUUAAGUGGAAAUGCUUAAUUGAAUUUAAAAGACGAGAAGACCCUAUAGAUUUUUAUUAUUUGAAUAAAUUUAAUAAUAAAAUUUAGUGUAAUAAUUUCAUUGGGGUGAUUUUGUAAUAAAAUAAACUUAAUUUUUUAAAACCAUAAAUAAUUGAAAUUUUUGAUCUAAAUUUUUUAAAGAAAAGAUUAAAUUACCUCAGGGAUAACAGCGUAAUUUUUUUUAAGAGUUCAUAUCUAUAAAAAAGUUUGCGACCUCGAUGUCGAAUUAAGAUAAUAUAUUGAAGUAG
rnacentral:rRNA from 1 species